rnacentral:rRNA from 1 species
CCCUUAGAUGUCCGGGGCUGCACGCGCGCUACACUGAAGGAAUCAGCGUGCUAAAACCAUUGUCGAAAGGCAUUGGUAAACCCAUUAAAAUCCUACGUGAUUGGGAUCGGGAAUUGCAAUUAUUUCCCUUGAACGAGGAAUUCCCAGUAAGUGUGGGCCAUAAGCUCGCGUUGAUUACGUCCCUGCCCUUUGUACACACCGCCCGUCGCUGCCCGGGACUGAGCCGUUUCGAGAAAAGCGGGGACUGCUGCUGUCGGGGCUUUCGGGCCUUGGCUUCGGUGGAAACCGCUUUAAUCGCAGUGGCUUGAACCGGGCAAAANUCGUANCA